GGGCCCGCACAAGCGGUGGAGCAUGUGGUUCAAUUCGACGCAACGCGAAGAACCUUACCCAGGCUUGAACAGCGAGUGACCACUCCCGAAAGGGGGCUUCCGCAAGGACACUCGUAGAGGUGCUGCAUGGCUGUCGUCAGCUCGUGUCGUGAGAUGUUGGGUUAAGUCCCGCAACGAGCGCAACCCUUGUCUUCUGUUGCCAUCAGGUUAUGCUGGGCACUCUGAAGAGACUGCCGGUGAUAAACCGGAGGAAGGUGGGGAUGACGUCAAGUCAGCAUGGCCUUUAUGUCUGGGGCUACACACGUGCUACAAUGGCCGGUACAAACCGUCGCGAUACCGUAAGGUGGAGCUAAUCGGAGAAAGCCGGUCUCAGUUCGGAUAGCAGGCUGCAACUCGCCUGCUUGAAGUUGGAAUCGCUAGUAAUCGCGGAUCAGCACGCCGCGGUGAAUACGUUCCCGGGCCUU
rnacentral:rRNA from 1 species